ACCAAAAGCCACCCAACUGAAAAGAGGGCCAAGUUAUUAGAACCUUCAAGGCUCUAACAAACUGAGACGGUGUUUGGAGGCAAAGGGGGGUUGUACUGAGUUUUGAGCAAGAACAUGGCCUGCAAACAUAGGCUACUCAGCAAGUGGGUGGCCUCCACGGUCAGACUCUCUGGGCCGGGAUCCUGGCCCUGUACCCACUGGGUGUGUAGACUUGGACCAGUUCUGGGAGGAUAAUAACAACCCUGCCAACUUGGAGUAGUGUGAGGAUUAAAUAAGUGAAUACAUGUAAAGCAUUUAGAGCAAAGGGUCGGCAUUUUCAGAGCCAGCUCCAGGCAGGCUGCAUGACAGGUGUGCAGAAGGGGAGACACCCUGAAGAGGUCAGGCACUCACAGGACCACUU
rnacentral:lncRNA from 10 species